UUUUUUUUUUUUUUUUUUUUGGUGUUUCUAGAGGCAGUCAGUCGAUUUGGUACUUCGGAAAUGCUGUUGGAAACAGGUUUUAUGAUUUUUUUCUGAAAAAGUGAAAAAGUCACUUUUUCGAAAUUUGUCGCAUAUCGCCGGUCAUGAAAUUUUUCAAAAAAUUCAAAAUUCAAAAUUUUUUUUUUUUUUUUGGUGUUUCUAGAGGCAGUCAGUCGAUUUGGUACUUCGGAAAUGCUGUUGGAAACAGGUUUUAUGAUUUUUUUCUGAAAAAGUGAAAAAGUCACUUUUUCGAAAUUUGUCGCAUAUCGCCGGUCAAGAAAUUUUUCAAAAAAUUCAAAAUUCAAAAUUUUUUUUUUUUGUGUGUUUCUAGAGGCAGUCAGUCGAUUUCGUACUUCGGAAAUGUUCUUGGAAACAGGUUUUAUGAUUUUUUCUGAAAAAGUGAAAAAGUCACUUUUUCGAAAUUUUUCGCAUAUCGCCGGUCAAGAAAUUUUUCAAAAAAUUCAAAAUUCAAAUUUUUUUUUUUUGUUGUUUGUUUCUAGAGGCAGUCAGUCGAUUUGGUACUUCGGAAAUGCUAUUGGAAACAGGUUUUAUGAUUUUUUCUGAAAAAGUGAAAAAGUCACUUUUUCGAAAUUUGUCACAUGAAAUUUUUCAAAAAUUUCAAAAAUCAAUUUUUUUUUAUUUUUUAUUUUUUUUUGGUGUUUCUAGAGGCAGUCAGUCGAUUUGGUACUUCGGAAAUGCUGUUGGAAACAGGUUUUAUGAUUUUUUCUGAAAAAGUGAAAAAGUCACUUUUUCGAAAUUUUUCGCAUAUCGCCGGUCAUGAAAUUUUUCAAAAAAUUCAAAAUUCAAAAAAUAUUUUUUUUUUGUUUUUUUGUGUUUCUAGAGGCAGUCAGUCGAUUUGGUACUUCGGAAAUGCUGUUGGAAACAGGUUUUGUGAUUUUUUCUGAAAAAGUGAAAAAGUCACUUUUUCGAAAUUUUUCGAAAAUCGCCGGUCAAGAAAUUUUUCAAAAAAUUCAAAAUUCAAAA